rnacentral:rRNA from 1 species
CCUACGGGAGGCUGCAGUGGGGAAUAUUGCACAAUGGGCGCAAGCCUGAUGCAGCCAUGCCGCGUGUGUGAAGAAGGCCUUCGGGUUGUAAAGCACUUUCAGCGGGGAGGAAGGCGGUGAGGUUAAUAACCUCAUCGAUUGACGUUACCCGCAGAAGAAGCACCGGCUAACUCCGUGCCAGCAGCCGCGGUAAUACGGAGGGUGCAAGCGUUAAUCGGAAUUACUGGGCGUAAAGCGCACGCAGGCGGUCUGUCAAGUCGGAUGUGAAAUCCCCGGGCUCAACCUGGGAACUGCAUUCGAAACUGGCAGGCUAGAGUCUUGUAGAGGGGGGUAGAAUUCCAGGUGUAGCGGUGAAAUGCGUAGAGAUCUGGAGGAAUACCGGUGGCGAAGGCGGCUCCCUGGACAAAGACUGACGCUCAGGUGCGAAAGCGUGGGGAGCAAACAGGAUUAGAUACCCCAGUAGUC